GCAGCAGAGGGAUCAGAUUACAUCUUCCCUUGAACACAGAAUGGUGCAGUCCAGGAUUCAGCAAUGCAGACUGCACAUCAAUUAUAUGGUGAUCCGCUCCAGGGAACCCGAAUGUUCUCAUGGUUACAUGGCUUCUACUUAUGUCUAUGAAGACACAGGAAAACCUCCACAAAAGUUUGCUUAUAUGGAACCAUCAGCAGUACAAUAAUUUGACAAAAAAGUGUGCAAGUUACCCAAGUUACCCUGAUUUAUCUAGAAAGCAUUUAAUCUUUAUAUCCCAUGCUUCACAUCCAAAAUAAACUGUAAGUCUUGAAUUUG